CCUACGGGGGGCAGCAGUAGGGAAUAUUGGACAAUGGGGGAAACCCUGAUCCAGCGACGCCGCGUGAGUGAAGAAGUAUUUCGGUACGUAAAGCUCUAUCAGCAGAAAAGAAAAUGACGGUAACUGACUAAGAAGCCCCUGCUAACUACGUGCCAGCAGCCGCGGGAAUACGUAGGGGGCAAACGUUAUCCGGAUUUACGGGGGGUAAAGGGAGCGUAGACGGCAGCGCAAGUCUGGAGUGAAAUGCCGGGGCGCAACCCCGGAACUGCUCUGGAGACUGUGAAGCUGGAGUGCAGGAGAGGUAAGCGGAAUUCCGGGUGUAGCGGUGAAAUGCGUAGAUAUCAGGAGGAACACCGGCGGCGAAGGCGGCUUACUGGACUGUAACUGACGUUGAGGCUCGAAGGCGUGGGGAGCAAACAGGAUUAGAUACCCUUGUAGUC
rnacentral:rRNA from 1 species